CCAUACAAUUUGAAAGAUGUAAAAGUUAGCUUUUAUAUCCCUUAGCACCCCUUAGCUUUUAACUACAUUUGAUGGGGUGGAGGAACAAAAUCUAUUUAGUUUUAACUCGUUUUUAAGAUUUUAGGUAGAAAUUAGCUAGCAUAGUAAACUGACUUAGUUAAUAUUAAUAAUAAAGUUAAUAAGGAAAAAGGUCAAAUAAAAUGGGUGAUUUAAACGAACCAACAUAAAGUGAAACCAGGAAGAAAAGGAGACAAUUUAAAUUAGCAUCUGGAGGAAAAAAAACUCGUUCACGUGACCUAAAAACAAAAAGUCAUAUGUCAACAUUUUCUUUGGAAAACAUUUCGUUAUUAGUGGGACUCUCUGUCAAAAUGAUACGAAAUAUUUAAUAAAAUAAAAUAAAAAUAAAAAACUAUAUAACAAUUAACGGGAAAACGGGAGGGGGGUAGAACAAACAACUGAUUUGUCAUGACAAAAAGACAACAAAAAAAAGAAAGAAAAAAAGCAGUUCCGCGCGCGCAAAAUUAGCAAGAAAUCACAACCGGCUGACAAACUUCUCACCCGCUCGUCUCCUGAAUUCCUCCUGAGGUCUUCUGUGACCUCUUUCUGGCUGUCCGGCCCGGUUCGGACAGGGAAACCGGUCUGAAUCGAGGCUGUGUACCCACCUGAUCCUCAGAGGAGCUGAGCAGAUAAUCUCCAGUGGCGUGCAGAGACAGACCUGUCACACCUGCCUCGUGGGCUCGCACCACCUGCACGCAGUUCCCUCCGGUGACGGACCACACGCGGAUCGUGGUGUCAGGAGAGGCAGAGAAGACCACAGACUAGGCAGGAUGAGAAAAAUUCAUCACAUUUAGAUAAAGGGUGUUUUUUAGCUCACAGA